UGCAGAUAACAAUGUGUGUUGUUAAGCUGAUGUGGGGAACAGCGGUCGUGGUGGGCCGAGCAAUGCGUCCGAUGUGUUCAUUUAUGAGACGCGUAUGCAAUCUCUGCUGCAGCUGGUACGACGAGGGCGACGAUGGCAGGAAUCAGGC